rnacentral:rRNA from 1 species
AGCAGCCGCGGUAAUUCCAGCUCCAAUAGCGUAUAUUAAAGUUGUUGCAGUUAAAAAGCUCGUAGUUGAAUUUCGGGGUUAGUAGGUUGGUCAUGCCUCUGGUAUGUACUGGUCUCACUGAUUCCUCCUUCCUGAUGAACCUUAAUGCCAUUAAUUUGGUGUUUUGGGAAAUCAGGACUGUUACUUUGAAAAAUUAGAGUGUUUAAAGCAGGCUCACGCUUGAAUACAUUAGCAUGGAAUAAUGAAAUAGGACGUUUGAUUCUAUUUUGUUGGUUUCUAGGAUCGACGUAAUGAUUAAUAGGGAUAGUUGGGGGCAUUAGUAUUCAAUUGUCAGAGGUGAAAUUCUUGGAUUUAUUGAAGACUAACUACUGCGAAAGCAUUUGCCAAGGAUGUUUUCAUUAAUACAAGAACGAAAGUUAGGGGAUCGAAGACGAUCGGAUACCGUCGUAGUCUUAACCAUAAACUAUGCCGACUAGGGAUCGGAUGAUGUUAAUUUUUAAUGUACUCA